rnacentral:rRNA from 1 species
UACAGAGGUCCCAAGCGUUGUUCGGAUUCACUGGGCGUAAAGGGUGCGUAGGUGGUCGGGUAAGUUUAAGGUGUAAGCUCCGGGCUCAACCCGGAAAUGGCCUUGAAUACUAUCCGGCUCGAGGGUUGGAGGGGGGACUGGAAUUCUCGGUGUAGCAGUGAAAUGCGUAGAUAUCGAGAGGAACACCAGUGGCGAAGGCGAGUCCCUGGACAACACCUGACACUGAGGCACGAAAGCUAGGGGAGCAAACGGG